AUCUAUCAUGUCGUCAGUCCAAGA
rnacentral:siRNA from 1 species